CCAAAUGGGAUUCCUUAAGUAAUUGCGAAUGAACAAGGAAAUGCUCAGCUUGAAAAAUGGGGCCUUUGGCUUUGAAUUGUAAUUUUGAAAUGUAUUGCCAAUGGAGGCGCAGGUGCAAGCCUAUUGAAAGAAAGCGUCAAUGAGGGUGAAAUUCCUUUUUGUCAUUUGCAGUCCUCCGUGCACGGUAUAUAUUUGACGAGUCACACUCCUCGGCAUUGGAAUGCAAAGUGGGUGGUAAAUUCCAUGUAAAGGUAAAUAUAUUAUUGAGACUGAUAGCAAACAAGUACCAUGAGGGAAAUAUGAAAAGGACUUUGAAAAGGGAAUUAAAAGAGUCUGCAUUUGCUGAACAGAAAGCAAACAGAAUUGAUGUGCUUGGUGAGAUUGUUGUGCCCACUCUGUCAUUUAUGUCGGAUGUGGGUGCGAUGGUUCUUACCUUGAAUGUCAGCUUCUAUUUCUGCAAAUCAUUACCCUUGCACAUGAAUGGUAAUUUGCCUGCGGGUAUUGGAAUGUGUGUGUUUGCAAUGAUUUGUGAUUUGAUGCAUGUGGUUGGUGGACUUUGUAUGUGCUGUUUUGCCAACGGGGAAGGGACUCUUCCUUGAGCACUGCAAGCCCUUGCACAU
rnacentral:rRNA from 1 species